CACAAUGGGCGCAAGCCUGAUGGAGCAACACCGCGUGAGUGAAGAAGGGUUUCGGCUCGUAAAGCUCUGUUGUUAAAGAAGAACACGUAUGAGAGUAACUGUUCAUACGUUGAAGGUAUUUAACCAGAAAGUCACGGCUAACUACGUGCCAGCAGCCGCGGUAAUACGUAGGUGGCAAGCGUUAUCCGGAUUUAUUGGGCGUAAAGAGAGUGCAGGCGGUUUUCUAAGUCUGAUGUGAAAGCCUUCGGCUUAACCGGAGAAGUGCAUCGGAAACUGGAUAACUUGAGUGCAGAAGAGGGUAGUGGAACUCCAUGUGUAGCGGUGGAAUGCGUAGAUAUAUGGAAGAACACCAGUGGCGAAGGCGGCUACCUGGUCUGCAACUGACGCUGAGACUCGAAAGCAUGGGUAGCGAACAGGAUUAGAUACCCUGGUAG
rnacentral:rRNA from 1 species